GUCGAAUUAAAACAGAUAAUGGACAUUUUAAAUACAAUAUAGACGAAAUACUAAAUGAACAAGUUAAAUUCUACUCAAAUUUAUUUAGCUCCGAGGUAUGGAAUUUGGAAAGUGCUAAAGAUUUAACCAGUCACAUCGAAAAUAAACUAAACGAUGACGACAAAAAAUUACUUGACCGUGAUAUUACAGCGGAGGAAAUAAUGAAAGUUCUAAAAAUUAUAAAAACAAAUAAAUCCCCAGGGGA
rnacentral:lncRNA from 1 species